CCUUCCUCGGCGCGGGGUGACUCUCACAGGGUCCAGAGAGUCACCAAGAAGUCAACUCCGAGCAAGGUGCCACUGGCAGGCCCCACAGCUGUACUCAUCAGGAUCAUCAGGAGGUGCUUAAGAGGAGCAGGAAUCUCCCAGAGAGAGACGCCAGAUUGUUUGCUCACAUAGCGCGGGUCCUGUCCCAACAGCCAGCGGUGUGUUCCUACUUUGGUUGCUGGUGCUCCUCCGGUUUGAGGACUUCCGGUUUUGAGGACCCUUCCUCAGGCUGCUUAGUCUCCUCGGAACUCCACAACUCUCCUACCGUGUAGCUACACCGUGGCUCGGCAACCCAUUGCUCACCUGCCUGUCCACCCUCAGCCUGCUGUGGCGCUCCCAUCAGUCUCAUGCUGGAGAAAAACUAGAUGCUCAGCCAGCACAAGCCUCUCAGACCUGUCGACCUCAGACUCAGAGUCACUCACCUUCCCCUGGACUUACACCUUCAUCCACAAACGUGUUCGUCCUGAUCCGGUGCAGAAAUCCUGAAGUCCUCCACUUGUGUUUCUUAACAAACCAUUCUACCUGUCGAGCUGUAAAAUAACAGAACAAUGACACAUAGAUUCUCACUGAAGGCAGUGAAUGAACGCAUAUGGAAUUAGGUAGCAAACAGAAAUUUGUAAAAGAACUUUAAUGGUUUAUAUUUUAGAUUCCUUAAAGUAGCCGCCCUUUGCUGUAAUAAAAUAUUAACCUUUGGCCGUCUCUCCAUGAACCUCUGGGAAGUUCUUUCA